CAGCAGCCGCGGUAAUACGAAGGGUGCAAGCGUUAAUCGGAAUUACUGGGCGUAAAGCGUGCGUAGGCGGUUUGUUAAGUCUGUUGUGAAAUCCCCGGGCUCAACCUGGGAAUGGCAAUGGAUACUGGCAAGCUAGAGUGUGUCAGAGGAUGGUGGAAUUCCCGGUGUAGCGGUGAAAUGCGUAGAGAUCGGGAGGAACAUCAGUGGCGAAGGCGGCCAUCUGGGACAACACUGGCGCUGAGGCACGAAAGCGUGGGGAGCAAACAGGAUUAGAUACCCCUGUAGUCCCUGUCUCUUAUAC
rnacentral:rRNA from 1 species